CCCCAGCUUUCAUACCUUUUAAGUUCGUCAUGCCUGUGGGGCAAUGCAAUAGAUACACUGCAUUGCAGCUGGAGAGAAGAACCUGGGCUCACCUUAAAGAUCACCUUAAAGAUCUGUUCAUACCGAUUUGAGAAUAUUAAGUGUGCAUGUGAUAAUUGAGACUUGGGUAAAGGCCAGAUUGCCUACAUAGAGUUUAAGAUCAGAAGACCAUGAACAGGUACCUAGGAUCCCCAACAGUUGGAGCUAAGGUAAAUUGAAGACACUUAGCUUGUCAAAGUGACCAAGAAGGACAGCCUGAUAGUGUUUCUUCUCUCCCUUCCCUGUACCUCACAACAAAUGUGUAUUUGCACAACUCUUCUAAUAGUAAUUAGUAAACUAUUGGGGGGAAAACAAAAACACAAAACAAAACAACAACCCCCCCCCCCCAAAAUGGUUUAGGGACCCAAAGUUAGGAUUUAAACUACUUGUAGAAUUUGGUAAAUGGCUGUGGAAAAGGGAUACUAUCUCAAAAGUAACUUCAAAUUUUAAUACUAUUUUUUAAAAUCACUUCACACUGGAAAAAGUAUUCGAUGAGAAUUUGUAAGAGUCUGUCUUUAAAUUUGUGGUACCAUAUUUUCAUUUCUGGACAAAUUCUGUGUAAUGCUGCCAAAAGUUAAAACUUAAGUACAUAUUUCUAACCUUUUUAAAGUAACAUUUAAAAAUAAUUAAAAUCUCCUAGAGAAAUGAGCUAUUGGGUAACAGACCCAAACAGAAAUUAGCCUUGGAAACUAAGACCACUAAUUGAUUUCAUAAAAAUUAACCUUUAAACAGCAUUGCAAGUAAAAAGAACCAUUUCUCAUUGACUGAAUGAAUCUUUCAUUGUCCUUUUGAAAUCACAGAAAUCAUACAUGAAUAUGUUAUUGUUGCAAAAGAUUCAAACCACACAGAAAUAUCUAGAAAAAAACAUGAAUGUCCCCCUUCUCUGAUCUGCCACUCCUCCUGCUUUUGCCUCCUUUCCCUAGAUGCAACAAUUCUCAGCUGUUUGUUGUUCCUCCAUCUAGUCCUCUGUGCUGGACACCGAGCACACACCAGUGAAUGUGAAACAUUGUUCUGCAACUUGCUUUUCUGCCCUUUCCGUAUCUUGGAGUUUCUGGUGUCAGAAGUGGGAUCAAAAAGAUGACCCCUUCAGUGACUCUGAGGCUGAUGAACAACAAUGUGUGGGUACCCGUGGAGUUCAAUGCGCUCACUAUUUUAUUGCGAAUUGCAGAGUGAGAAGGUAAGUUUCUGGGAUGUCUGUUUUUAUAUGAAAAACAUUUAUGGAAUGGUGGGUGUAUUUUAGUUAAAGAAAAAAGGGAGGAAUUCUGUCCUAAAAUAAAAUGACUGGUUGUUCCA
rnacentral:lncRNA from 1 species